UAUUUACAGAACUCUACAUUAGACUUUGGGAUCGUCCCUGUAACUAAGUCAGCCAGACGGUCAGAGAACUUUAUUUUUCUGCUAACAUGUCUGUCUGUGGGAUUUGUCUCGGAGACAGGAAGUCUCAUGGAUACGGUUCAAUGUAUUUAACGACACACUGGAAUUUCAUUGAGUAGGAAUGUCAAUGGUGCUUUCCUUUCACCUCCUAAAAGAAAGCUUUGUCACUUGGGGCACUUAGUUUGAUAGUGAAGAUGUUGUAUUGUGGGGCCGGGGUCUUUUUGUGUAAAUCCUAGUUUCUGACUGCCUUGGUCCCAACUCCAUGAUUCUCCUGUUAGGAGGACAUGGACAUAGGCGUUGGGCUUACAGGUAUGAGCCACAGGUCUGCUUUAAGUGAAGGCAAGAUGGCUGGGUCUGUCUGUCUGUCUCUCUUUUUGUAUUGCGGUUGAACUAUAACAUAGCACCUUGCUGGGGAACGUUUAAAACUUACCUGAACUUUCCUUGAAAAGUUAAAAAUGUUUCACCAGCAGUUUGUGGGCUGGGGAAUACUACCACAUUCCUAGUGUUUUAAUAAGUUAAAUUGCUCUGUCACCAUCCUCUUUUCCUCCCAGAGCUUAGGGACCAAGGGGAGGAAGAGAGAUUAUAAGAGUCAGAGGUCAGGGACACCCAGCGGAAACAGUAUUUUCUAGAUUCCACUUGUGAACUCAGCAGCAGCUGUAUAAGAUCCUAGCCCAGGGCAGAGAGGGCCUAGGCUGAGUCGAGAUGGGCCCUUGAUGCUUCUAGGGGUGAGCCAGUCAGUGUUCUCUAUGGAUGUGGUCCUUGAGGGAAACUAGCCCCAGUGUGAGGCCUCACACUGUUGAGUCUAUGGAUGGGCAGCACAGAUUGGACUAGGUGAGUUUUUAGGGCUGGGGUGGAGUUGGAAGGAAGUAGGGAUGACUAUGAAAAAGUACAUUGAAAGACAUCUCAAGACAAUUACUUUUUAAAAAGGUAAAUUGCUGCUGAUCCAAACCCAAACCUUAGUGCUUGGGAAUUCCUAAGACCUGACAUGCACAUGCAGCAGGUAUGCCAGCACUCAUUCUGUAACCCCCACCC
rnacentral:lncRNA from 1 species